AUUGAACGCUGGCGGCAUGCCUUACACAUGCAAGUCGAACGGCAGCACGGGUGCUUGCACCUGGUGGCGAGUGGCGAACGGGUGAGUAAUACAUCGGUACCUGUCCUGUAGCGGGGGAUAGCCCGGCGAAAGCCGGAUUAAUACCGCAUACGAUCUACGGAUGAAAGCGGGGGACCUUCGGGCCUCGCGCUGUUGGGUUUGCCGAUGGCUGAUGAGCUAGUUGGGGGGGUAAAGGCCUACCAAGGGGACUAUCAGUAGCUGGUCUGAGAGGACGGCCGGCGACACGGGGACGGAGCCAGGCCCAAGACUCCUGCGGGAGGCAGCAGUGGGGAAUUUUGGACAAUGGGCGAAAGCAUGAUACAGCAAUGCGGCGUGUGUGAAGGAGGCCUUCGGGUUGUAAAGAACUUUUGUCCGGAAAGAAAUCCUUGGCCCUAAUACGGUCGGGGGAUGACGGUACCGGAAGAAUAAGCACCGGCUAACUACGUG
rnacentral:rRNA from 1 species